UGGGGAAUAUUGGACAAUGGGCGCAAGCCUGAUCCAGCCAUGCCGCGUGAGUGAUGAAGGCCCUAGGGUUGUAAAGCUCUUUCACCGGUGAAGAUAAUGACGGUAACCGGAGAAGAAGCCCCGGCUAACUUCGUGCCAGCAGCCGCGGUAAUACGAAGGGGGCUAGCGUUGUUCGGAUUUACUGGGCGUAAAGCGCACGUAGGCGGGCUUUUAAGUCAGAGGUGAAAUCCCAGGGCUCAACCCUGGAACUGCCUUUGAUACUGGAAGUCUUGAGUAUGGUAGAGGUGAGUGGAAUUGCGAGUGUAGAGGUGAAAUUCGUAGAUAUUCGCAGGAACACCAGUGGCGAAGGCGGCUCACUGGACCAUUACUGACGCUGAGGUGCGAAAGCGUGGGGAGCAA
rnacentral:rRNA from 1 species